rnacentral:rRNA from 1 species
UACGAAGGGGGCUAGCGUUGCUCGGAAUCACUGGGCGUAAAGCGCACGUAGGCGGAUCGUUAAGUCGGAGGUGAAAUCCUGGAGCUCAACUCCAGAACUGCCUUUGAUACUGAAGAUCUUGAGUUCGGGAGAGGUGAGGUGGAACUGCGAGUGUAGAGGUGAAAUUCGUAGAUAUUCGCAAGAACACCAGUGGCGAAGGCGGGUCUCUGGACAGUUCCUGACGCUG